CAGACAUACCACGUUGAAACACUGGUUCUCAUAUGAUCAACAAAGUUAAGCAAUGUCAAACCUGGUUACUAUUUAGAUGUGUGACCACUUGGGAAUAACAGGUGCUGUAAG